rnacentral:other from 1 species
AAUAUUCUGCCUUGUUCGAGUAAUUAUAGUUUUUAUAAUCCAACACAUCUCAUUAGGGAAUACAGCUCCGGCUGUGGAUUGCAGACCUCCCGACAUACAGACAUUUUUCUGUAUGCGGACGAAGGGAGCGUGAAGCAUUCGGGCGUUUACCCACCUGCUUCGUGCGGGUUUUAUGCACUAUAUGACGGCAAGGCGGAUUAUUU